rnacentral:sRNA from 1 species
AAUUCGCGUUAGGGAUUGUAACGGCAUCCUUUUUUGAAGAAAAAGAUAUAGCGAAAAGCCCGACCCGAA